rnacentral:rRNA from 1 species
AAUGUGAAUUGCAGAAUUCAGUGAAUCAUCGAAUCUUUGAACGCACAUUGCGCCCCCUGGUAUUCCGGGGGGCAUGCCUGUUCGAGCGUCAUUUCACCACUCAAGCCUCGCUUGGUAUUGGGCAACGCGGUCCGCCGCGUGCCUCAAAUCGUCCGGCUGGG